rnacentral:misc_RNA from 1 species
AGGCUUCCAAGCAUACACUUUAUGCAGAAAAAGCUCACGAAAAGAACCAACUCCAAGUCCCUUUUCAAAGAUCAUGAUUGUAGAAUUUUUGAACUUAAUGCAAAUCCUAUUUAUGCCAAUGCUAAAGUAUUAGUACGCAUAAAAUAACUGAUAUAUUGAUCCUGCCAUUUAAUCCUUAAGUGUCAAAAUACAGAAUUUAGUACUUAAU